CAUUAGCUAGGUUUAAAUAGAUCUUAAAACUUGUGUCAUGAUAUUUUAAAUUCUUUAAAGGGAUAAUAAUGGUGUUUAUAGUAAGUAUAUAAAGUUUGAAAGUGUUAGGAGGUAAAACAUCCAAGAACGUCCUAAAAGUCCGAAAACAUGUCGAAGUUUAACUAGUAUGUAGUAGUGUUUUAUAGCGGAGUUUUGGGGGAUGGUUUGAGGGUGAAGUUCAGUAUUGACAUGUAAAGGGGUUGAAAAGUCGAAGAAUGAUGCCGCGGAGACCAUCCUAAGGGUCCCCAAGGAGGACCCACACAUAGCCAAUGAAAGUUGCCACGCUAGCCAAGAUUUGGCAGUGGCUGCGCGUCGCGCAUCUGGCACAUAAGUGAGACAAAGUCUUCCCUAAUACAUGGGUCCAUCAUGAUUCAUUCUUUCUCAAAAUUUUCUACAAUCAAGAUUUAAAAAUUCCUCCAUGACGCGCAGUAAACUUCCAAUUUUGAUUGCAUUUUUUUUAGUCAAAUAUGAGUUUGUUAAAAUGUCCAAAAAGUGAAGGGGUAUUUUAGUUAAUUUGGGGAUGACUUAUGACGAUUAUUGAGUAUUUUUAAUCCCAUAAAUUCAACAAUAAAAGCUAAACUUUCAACUCAAAAUAAAACCUCUCCAUUCUUCUCUCCAAAACUUCCAUUGAUGAAGCUUUAAAGCUCCAAGGAGGAAGACUGAUUUUCUCAAGUUUUCUCCAUCAAUCUCGUGGAAUUUUCAUCACAUUUUAAGGUGUAGGUAGCAUUUGAAAGGAGUCUCGAUGUGAAGUUUGGAUUAGAAUUUCAUUCAAGUAAGAGUUGGUAUGUCCUCACUAAAUUGAAGAACAUCAUGAUAUUUAGAUUUCAUUAGAAAGUAUUGUAAUAAACUUAACUAUUUUCUAUACAUUGAAGUAUGGGACAUGUUGCAAUAUAUUUGUAUGUCUAAGAUGGGGACUUCGAGACAUAGCCUUUCAUUUUCUAUAUAACAGAUAACUUGAAGUAUUA